UCAGAUCACAGGUGAUGUGUUACUCUGGAUUUGGCUUUUUAACUUGCUACCUGGGUGCUGGUAAUUUCGGUACAGGACAGCAACUUGCUGGCUAUGACAGGCAGAAGGUCAGUAUAUGAGCUCAUGAUGUGUUGUCUGCUUGCUAGCUGAACUUCUCAAGUCUGAAAGUAAUGUCAGAAUUUCAGUUUCACUGGAGUGAAUGUAGGCCUGGAGAAGGAAUUGUGGGGUUUGGAGUUGAUUUUCCCCAUAGUUUUUUAAGGCACAUUUGUUCUAGAAGUACAUGGACUGGAGGAUGCAGUUUUCAGACACUCCUUAUGACAAGGAGUUUGUUGCCUAUCUCAACUCUGCUUCUGUGGCACAAGCUUAGGUGAGCAGAAUGUACAAUUAUUCUGAAGGGCUGAUCCUGUUGCAUAGCUGGAAGCUGCAGGAGUCCACAGAGGAAAGCUUUUUGCUAUAUUUGACGCAUCAGCUCACGUUUGGCUGUUGUGACCUCUUCAGCUGGUCAUGGCAAGGCUAAACUAAACUUGGUGCUGUUCUCCAGCAAGUGUGAGCACCACUUCUGAGAAGGCUUCAGUCAUCCUACUGAUUAUCUGUUGACACUGCAUCUCCUGUGAUGAAGGAGAGCCACCUUUGAACCUGUUCGUAAAUGACAGAAUAGCUGACGAGGUCUGUUCUAGUCUGGUCAGGUACACAUGUCUCAGGAUGUAUAAUGUAUGUUUUUUUUCUCACAUCGUUCAAGAGCCUCACACCCUAUUACAGAGGGGUUGGGGCUCUAGAGACAUCACAGCUGAGUCAACUGAGAUAAUUGCUUACAAGUCCUUAAAGAUGCUGAUUAAAUGCUGGAACAGAUCUCAUGCCUUUUGGUCUCCUAGGGCUUCCACAGAAGCAUUUUCCUAAGCCAGCAGAGAUGGUGACGCCAAAACAGAUGAGCACAUGGUGCUUGCUGAAGGCUUUGGCAAGCACCUUGGUUGAGUUUUCAGGAGCUGGCAGCAAUGGCUCAUUGCUGGAGUGAGACCUGACGUGAUGGUAGUGGCAAGGGUAGCUGAAUGAAAGGCUUGAGUUUUAUGGAGAAGCCUUGGCUAAAUGCUGGCCUCAUCCUCCUCACCUGCAGUCUGGUUGGGUAAAGAGGAGCAGACCAGGUUUCCCUUCUGGACUACAGCCACUGCUGCAGACCUUUUCAGCCUAAGUGGUACUUCCAAAUGGCACUUUUUGCCUCCACCUGGAGCCAUAAAGGUAAGCAAAGCCACUCCAAGAACCAGCUUCCCCAAGCAACCGCCUGCCUGAGGUUAUCUAAGUCUGUCUGCAGGCUUAGGUAUCCCAGGGGCUGGGCUCUGAUGUGGAGCCAGGCUGUGGCCUCCAGGGCACUAGAGUGGCCCAGGCUCUUAAUGGGAUGGUUAGAAGCAGGGACUUGUGGUAUUGCACCCCAUCUAUCCACAGGUACCUGUAAGGGACCUCAUACCAGUUUUGGACCAAAAUGGAAGUUUCUUAGUUUACCUUUCUGUGUGUCUUAGGAGGAACCUGAUUUACUAUGUGCAAUAAUAGGUCUCAAUAAGCCAGGCUUUAGUGACUUCAGUCCCUCAGAUUCAUGUCUUUGUGUGUGCCUUCAAAGCCAUCUCUGUCACCAUCUUGGGCUCAUUUGUAACUGCUGCCAGUGAGUGAGGAUGCUUGUGGGAUGGGACCACCUGCUGCAUCAACUACUGAGAUACUAUUUCAGCUCUGGUUUGCUUGUCUCCUGUACUGUCCUGGUGCCCACAUCCUUCUAGGUGAACAGGAUCCUGGUGUAUGCCCUGUGGGCUUCCUCAGCUGCUGAGGUUGUAGGAUUGGGGAGAUGGUUUGGGAGGGGGUCAGACCUGCCUCUUUCAAUUGCUAGGCUCUUCUUUUCUCCAUGUGCUGCUUUGUAGAUGAUGUGCUGUAAGAAGGAGGUGACAUUGCUCAGAGGACCCCCAGCAACGGUGGGAACUGAGACAGGCAGAUGGGGCUGGCCCCAGGUGCAGCUCCUUUCCCCUUAGGGCAGAUGGGCCCUGCUCUCUGUGUGUUGAGCACAGGGUCUGUGGCUUAGCAGACGAAAGGUAACAGCCCCAGCCAUGGCUGCUGGGGCUGGGGGUGCACACCCUGUGCUCUGUGUGCCCUCGCUCUGCUCUGCAACCCCCAGCCACCACUGCCAUGGCCCCUUUCAGCACAGGAGAAGCACAUGAGCAGUGCAGCAGGACACAGCAGCAGGUGAGCAGCACAGUGGGUGAAGAGGAGGAACACUCCCAGGCCCAGCCAAACUCUGACACUGCCCCUCGGCCAAACUGGCUGGGGCACAAAGCUGCCAGACACAGCACACCGAUCUCUCUCCCCCCACUACAUCCUGGGACCAGAGCCUAAACCAGCACAAAGCCUUGCUCCCUCCCUCAGGUUGGCUCUGCUCCAGGCUCCACUUAGCAUCAAUUAUUCAGUGCCGACUGGCUGAAGCCUUGCAGAGGCACACAACGGGGCUUGAUGAGCUUUCCAUGUCGUGGGUGGUGGGCAGGGAGGCUGAGGAGCGCAGCCAUGGCUUGGCAGAGACCCAGCAAGCAACAGGGACAGAAGUGGCCACCUGCCUGUCCCAGCUCCUGGCACUGCUGGUUUGGCUGUUCAUGAGCCAGGAAGGACAGGAGCCAUACGGGGCUGCAGGGCACCGUUGCUGAGCACAGCCUGGGGAGUCUGCAGUUCUGCCUUGGGGUCGUUUCUGGGCAGGAAUCAGCCCUGGGAACUGGAGAGCUGGUGUAGAGUUCUCUGAAAGCCAUGACGAGAGCAGUGGCUCCACCAGGGAAAGGGUGAUAGGAAGUACUGGCAAAUACCAAAUGCAGGGAGAGAAGCUGUGGGAGGACCAGUCCCUGGCUGACAAGGCCAUUAGAAUUUAGGCAGCAGUCUCAAUACCUUCUACGGAGUUCAUUUGCCACUGGUUCCAGUGCUGUCCAGCAAGUGGAUAUUGGUAACGUUGGGCUUUGGGACUGCCCUGCUCUUUGUCCCCUGCAAGCAGCAGCCAGGCCCUGGGGGGACACAGGAGAGGGCAGGAGGUGCUGCUUGACUGAUGCAGGGGCUAUCUGCCCUCCCAUCCUAUUAGGGACAUGAGUACUUUCCAUACUGACACCUACCUGC